rnacentral:rRNA from 1 species
UACGAAGGGUGCAAGCGUUACUCGGAAUUACUGGGCGUAAAGCGUGCGUAGGUGGUGGUUUAAGUCUGUUGUGAAAGCCCUGGGCUCAACCUGGGAAUUGCAGUGGAUACUGGAUCACUAGAGUGUGGUAGAGGGUGGCGGAAUUCCCGGUGUAGCAGUGAAAUGCGUAGAGAUCGGGAGGAACAUCCGUGGCGAAGGCGGCCACCUGGGCCGACACUGACACUGAGGCACGAAAGCGUGGGGAGCAAAC